rnacentral:rRNA from 1 species
UACGUAGGGUGCAAGCGUUGUCCGGAAUUAUUGGGCGUAAAGAGCUCGUAGGCGGCUUGUCGCGUCGGCUGUGAAAACCUGAGGCUCAACCUCGGGCUUGCAGCCGAUACGGGCAAGCUAGAAUUCGGUAGGGGAGACUGGAAUUCCUGGUGUAGCGGUGAAAUGCGCAGAUAUCAGGAGGAACACCGGUGGCGAAGGCGGGUCUCUGGGCCGAUAUUGACGCUGAGGAGCGAAAGCGUGGUGAGCAAACAGG